ACGAACGCUGGCGGCGUGCUUAACACAUGCAAGUCGAACGGAAAGGCCCUGCUUUUGUGGGGUGCUCGAGUGGCGAACGGGUGAGUAACACGUUAGUAACCUGCCCUUGACUUUGGGAUAACUUCAGGAAACUGGGGCUAAUACCGGAUAGGAGCUCCUGCUGCAUGGUGGGGGUUGGAAAGUUUCGGCGGUUGGGGAUGGACUCGCGGCUUAUCAGCUUGUUGGUGGGGUAGUGGCUUACCAAGGCUUUGACGGGUAGCCGGCCUGAGAGGGUGACCGGCCACAUUGGGACUGAGAUACGGCCCAGACUCCUACGGGAGGCAGCAGUGGGGAAUAUUGCACAAUGGGCGGAAGCCUGAUGCAGCAACGCCGCGUGCGGGAUGACGGCCUUCGGGUUGUAAACCGCUUUCGCCUGUGACGAAGCGUGAGUGACGGUAAUGGGUAAAGAAGCACCGGCUAACUACGUG
rnacentral:rRNA from 1 species